AAAGAGUUGUGAAACUUUUUAUCUCGUAUGGAGUUAUAACGUGAAAUAAUGACACAGACUGGCUCAUCAUCUCAUCUGCAGCAGAGACUGUUGUAUCAGAAGGACAGCGCGUUUGUUUGAGGCACUUUUCACUUCAACUGUGUCUGACAGGAGAAUUUAGCUUUCUGAGCCGUUGAGUUACCAUGGCAACCGCGUACACAUCAGCUGCUAGAGAGGAGAGGAGAGGUCUCGUCUGACAUUUUCUCUGUUUCUCGUCAGUUAUACCAAAGAAAAGGUCAACAACUGCGACAGAUUUUGAUUUCAGGAGUGUCUUAAAAACCCUCUAAAACAGAGGGGAAGUUCCAAAAAAGUGUCUAAUGGGAGAUGCUGACAGAGAUAGAAAACACAGGUGAUCCGAGAAAGCUUAUUAAAUAACUUAAUAUUUAUUUUUUACAAUAUAUCAUCAUGCAUCUCUAAAAUCUAAACAUGUGAAUUCCGGUAUCUUAAGAUAUUUUUGUAUGUUUUCCAUAUUACUGUUUUUCUUUUCUGCAUUUCCCCUAUUCUCUAGUUUGUUUAUUUCUAAUAAGGAGCUGGAGGCCGUGAAGAAACAGAUCCAUGAUAUCGUGGAGAAGCAGGCCCAGAUGAGCAAGUGGAGAGCUAUGCUGGAAAUAUUCAUGGGUUGAUGCUCAUAAGUCCAGGUGUAAGACAUGAACCAGGCCCUGGGCGACGACCUCUCUCCAUCCGCCGCCUCCGGUCUUCAGGAUCUCCACCAGAACCCGAUUCGCUCCACUUCGUGAGACAGAACACAACGUUGUGAUCAUCGGAGACUCCAUCGUCUGGCACGUUCGUGCUAUAUUAG